GACGAACGCUGGCGGCGUGCUUAACACAUGCAAGUCGAACGGAAAGGCCCUGCUCUUGUGGGUUGCUCGAGUGGCGAACGGGUGAGUAACACGUGAGUAACCUGUCCUUGACUUUGGGAUAACAUCAGGAAACUGGGGCUAAUACCGGAUAGGAGCUCCUGCUGCAUGGUGGGGGUUGGAAAGUUUCGGCGGUUGUGGAUGGACUCGCGGCUUAUCAGCUUGUUUGUGGGGUAGUGGCUUACCAAGGCUUUGACGGGUCGCCGGCCUGAGAGGGUGACCGGGCACCUUGGGCCUGAGGUAGGGCCCAGACUCCUACGGGAGGCAGCAGUGGGGAAUAUUGCGCAAUGGGCGGAAGCGUGAUGCAGCAACGCCGCGUGCGUGAUGACGGCCUUCGGGUUGUAAACCGAUUUCGACUGUGACGAAGCGUUAGUGACGGUAAUGGGUAAAGAAGCACCGGCUAACUACGUG
rnacentral:rRNA from 1 species